UUUUAUCAGAGAGUUUGAUCCUGGCUCAGGAUGAACGCUGGCGGCGUGCUUAACACAUGCAAGUCGAGCGAAGCAGUUAAGGAGAUUCUUCGGAUGAUUCUUAACUGACUGAGCGGCGGACGGGUGAGUAACGCGUGGGUGACCUGCCCCAUACCG
rnacentral:rRNA from 1 species